UAAGAUAAUCCAGAUAGGUUU
rnacentral:piRNA from 1 species